AACGAACGUUGGCGGCGUGCCUAACACAUGCAAGUCGAGCGCGGGCAGGACUUCGGUCCUGUUCCGAGCGGCGCACGGGUGAGUAACACGUGAGUAACCUGCCUCGAAGUUUGGGAUAACCGCCCGAAAGGGUGGCUAAUACCGGAUAAGCCCCCAUGGCACAGGCCAGAGAGGGAAAAGCCUUGGCGCUUCGGAGAUGGGGCUCGCGUCCCAUUAGCUAGUUGGUGACGGUAACGGCUCACCAAGGCGAAGAUGGGUAGCUGGUCUGAGAGGAUGAUCAGCCACACUGGAACUGAGACACGGUCCAGACUCCUAGGGAGGCAGCAGUGGGGAAUAUUGCGCAA
rnacentral:rRNA from 1 species